rnacentral:rRNA from 1 species
CCUACGGGUGGCAGCAGUGAGGAAUAUUGGUCAAUGGGCGAGAGCCUGAACCAGCAAAGUCGCGUGAGGGAGUACUGCCCUAUGGGUUGUAAACCUCUUUUGUCGGGGAGCAAAAGCCGGAUGUGUCCGGCUGGGAGAGUACCCGAAGAAAAAGCAUCGGCAAACUCGGUGCCAUCAGCCGCGGUAAUACGGGGGAUGCGAGCGUUAUCCGGAUUGAUUGGGUUUAAAGGGUGCGCAGGCGGAUUUUUAAGUCAGCGGUCAAAUCGUGGGGCUCAACCCCAUCCAGCCGUUGAAACUGGGGAUCUAGAGUGUGCGAGAGGUAUGCGGAAUGCGUGGUGUAGCAGUGAAAUGCAUAGAUAUCACGCGGAACCCCGGUUGCGAAGGCAGCAUACCGGUGCACAACUGACGCUCAGGCACGAAAGCGUGGGUAUCGAACAGGAUUAGAUACCCUUGUAGUC